CCUACGGGAGGCAGCAGUGAGGAAUAUUGGUCAAUGGGCGGAAGCCUGAACCAGCCAAGUCGCGUGAGGGAAUAAGGCCCUACGGGUCGUAAACCUCUUUUGCCGGGGAGCAAGGGCGGGGACGUGUCCCGGCCCGGAGAGUACCCGGAGAAAAAACAUCGGCAAACUCCGUGCCAGCAGCCGCGGUAUUACGAGGGAUGCGAGCGUUAUCCGGAUUUAUUGGUGUUAAAGGGUGCGUAGGCGGGCUGUUACGGCAGUGGUAAAAAUUCGGGGAUCAAACCCGUCCGGCCGUGGAAACUGGGGGCUGUGGGGGUGCGAGAGGAUGCGGGAAUGCGUUGUGGAGCGGUGAAAUGCGUAGAUA
rnacentral:rRNA from 1 species